CAGUAGCCGCGGGAAUACAGAGGGUGCGAGCGUUAAUCGGAUUUACUGGGCGUAAAGCGUGCGUAGGCGGCUUUUUAAGUCGGAUGUGAAAUCCCUGAGCUUAACUUAGGAAUUGCAUUCGAUACUGGGAAGCUAGAGUAUGGGAGAGGAUGGUAGAAUUCCAGGUGUAGCGGUGAAAUGCGUAGAGAUCUGGAGGAAUACCGAUGGCGAAGGCAGCCAUCUGGCCUAAUACUGACGCUGAGGUACGAAAGCAUGGGGAGCAAACAGGAUUAGAUACCCCAGUAGUCCCUGUCUUUUAUAC
rnacentral:rRNA from 1 species